AACAAAUUGGAACGGAACAGUUUCCAAACAGUGAAGCAGGUUUUUCCAAACUCAUCCCUAACUGAACAUGAGGAUGAAUUGGCAUUAGGCGAACACAGUCAGUUAUUCAGUCUACCACCUGACAGUGUGUUAAAGUUAAAUUCUGUUAGUGCUGCACUAAAAGAAUUGUUAGUAAUAAGUCCAUGCAGCGAAGGAAGUGAACAAUUGUGGGACCGUAUUUGGGCUGAAAAUGGGUGUGGUACGGAAACCCAGAAAUAGCACGAGUUCAACAUAAAACAUGAAUUAGAAUUUUAGCGGGGGAUCAAGUCAAGUCUGGAAGUGUUACAGGAGGGAAGAGUGAGCCUAUAGUUGAAAAACAUUGAAAGUGCAUUACCAUUAAG